UACGAAGGGGGCUAGCGUUGCUCGGAAUUACUGGGCGUAAAGCGCACGUAGGCGGCUUUCUAAGUCGGGGUGAAUCCUGGAGCUCAACUCCAGAACUGCCUUCGAUACUGGAGAGCUCGAGUCCGGGAGAGGUGAGUGGAACUGCGAGUGUAGAGGUGAAAUUCGUAGAUAUUCGCAAGAACACCAGUGGCGAAGGCGGCUCACUGGCCCGGUACUGACGCUGAGGUGCGAAAGCGUGGGAGCAAACAGGG
rnacentral:rRNA from 1 species